CCUAGAAGCGCUCCCGGGACUUUGUCGGCCAGCGUCUGCGCUCCCCGAGAGUUCUGCUUCUUCUGCCCGCCGCGGAUUAGCCCGACGUGACGAAUUACUUGCGCCUGCCAGGCCGUCCUGCCCGCUUCGCCCUGCUCCGUGGUUCUUGAGCUCUCUCGGCCACCGUACUGCCCCGCUCGAGCCACGCCCUUCCCGCGUUAAAGGAGCCCUGCUGGCCGCCUCUGCCCGGGAUCCCCGCCUCUGACUCCUCUCCCUAACGAAAUCCUGAAAGUCCCCCGAGGUUAGAGUUUUUCUGUGCCAUCUCCGAGCUCCCGGGGUCGCCCCGUUUCCCAACGGGAGACGCGGACGUGCUCCCCGCGCAUGCGCGCUCCCCUCGUGGUCUUUGCAAUCCCUUUAGCUAAACGUCUUCUAGAUAGCGCUGCAGACCUGGACUCGAGCUGGCGCCCCCUGCCCUGGAGAGGCCGAGAGGGGCUGUUAACCCCCUCUACCGGCUUGGGGGCCAUGGCCCGGAGAAGGGACCCCCGCUCUGAGCCCCGGUGCCCGCCCCCUUCCCAAGCCCGCGUUGUGGCGGUGCUGCUGCUCCUCUCCUUGGUGCCAGCUUGGGGAGAGCCGGCGAGCUCGCGAAUGCAGCGCCUGGCCCCGGAGCGCGCGGUCCGAGGUGGUAGCGACUUCAGCCAGCCGACACCUGUGCUGGGCUGUUCGCCACGUUGCCUGCGCCUCCGCUUCCCUCUAGGUCUCUCCCCGGCCCCUCUCUGCGCCCCCACCCACCCCCGCAGUGGGCAGGCCUCCCCCGUUGGACUGGCAGAGUCGGGGUUGUCUUGUUCGCGCUGUGACUUAAGCGCAAGGCUCUCCCAGCGCCCAAGGGGCCUUCGUUGUGAGGCCAGGCACAGGGGCCAGCAGGAACCCGGGCUUCCGCUCGCCCAGCCCAGCGCUACAGUUCUGGGAAUGUGUCGGCCCAGGCUUCCAGGCCAGGGACAAAGCGAACGUAUUGCUUAAGUGCCCCACCGAAGAGACAGAUUUGUGGGGCUGAAACUUACAUAAUCAAUGAGUCUUUGUUAAAAACAUUUAUUGGGAAAGGCAGAGUUGCAGAGAGGAGAGACAGAGAGAGGUCUUCCAUCCACUGGUCCACUCUCCAAAUGACCACAACAGCUUGGCCUGGGCUAGGCCGAAACCACAAACCAGAAGCUUCUUCCGGGUCUCCCACGUGGGUGCAGGGGCCCAAGGACCUGGGCCAUCUUCCACUGCUUUCCCAGGCCACAGCAGAGAGCUGGAUGUGAAGAGGAGCAGCCGGGACUCGAACCGGUGCCCACAUGGGAUGCCGGCGCUGCAGGUGUCACCGCCCGAUCUGUUGCAGCGUGAUGCCUCUCAGACAGGGACCCGGGCCAGGGCCCCAGAGGAGCUGGGUUCCCUGCUGCGUGCCUGUUGAGUGACUGGGAAACCACCGGAGAGUCCACUCUGCCCUCCACUAGGGGGCACCCAACACCGACCAGCGGCUGAGGCCCCAAACGCCAGGGUCCUUGGAAGGAGGACUGGGGGGUCCUUGCUGAGUGGAGGAAGGAGGAGUCUGGGGUCCUGAGGGCAGCGGGCUCCGCAGGAGGAGUCUGGGAGCGGCCCCAGGAUUGGCUGGAAGCAGAGCUGGCCGGGGCAGUGGUUUGGCUUGGCCUGAGUCCGUGGGAAAGAAGUGCACAGAGCAGGGAUUGUUCCGCAGGGUCUCCCCCUCCUCGGCACCCCCUGCGUGUGCUUGGCAGCCUCGGUUCUUCCCAGGCUCUGGAGACCUGGGGGCGUUGCCCGCGGCCCCUCCCCAGGGGACUCACAGCUGCCUGGCCUCAGGACCUGGGAAAAGUGCCCCAAGGGGGUUGGAAGCCUGGCCGGGGGUCAGAGCAAAGCAGAUGAGGAGCCACAGGGACCUCGGCGGAGCCCCAGGCUCGCUCAGGGCCUGCGGGGAGCCCGCAGUCGCCACUGCCAGCCAGAGACCCUCUGCAGCAGCGACCCUGGCCGUGCAGCCUGGCGAGCGGCGCGCGUCCUGGCUGAGCGCGGACACGCCCGAGGCCCUGCUUCCUGCCCUUCGUCCAUGCCUGUUUUUGCCAGCUGCUGAGCUGCCCGUCCUCAUUUGUCUCUCUGGCUGCCUGAGGGCAGAGGUCUGUCUGUGUGGCCUCAGCGGGAGGAGAGCCUCCGGCCAAGGUGCUAGCCCAGGGACGGCACAACCCAUGCUGAUAAGGAACCAGACUGCGCAGCCGGAGACGGAGGUCCCUGUGCGGGCAGGGGCUGCACCUGCUCCCUGCUGUGGGCCCAGUACUUACUAAGUCUCUCUAUGCGCCCAGGGGACGAAUGUGUCAGAGCUGACGGGCACGGUCUGCAGGGGCCCAGCUUCCUGGGUCCCAGCCAGGCUGGGCACCGACUCAGCCAGCUCAGCAGGGACUUGUGGGCGCCAGUCUUCUCAGUCACAGGGGUAUUGGACACCGCACAACGAUGCCACAUUUAAGAAAAAAUAAACUUUUAUUUAUUUUUCA